UAACCAUUGGUUGAGUGCUCCCCUAAA
rnacentral:piRNA from 1 species